AAGUCGUAACAAGGUUUCCGUAGGUGAACCUGCGGAAGGAUCAUUAUAGUAUUCUAUUGCCAGCGCUUAAUUGCCGCGGCGAUAAACCUUACAACACAUUUGUCUAGUUUUUUUUGGAACUUUGCUUUGGGUGCAUCAGCCUAGCUGGCGUGCCCAAAGGUCUAAACCACAUUUUUUAAUGUUAAAAACCUUUAACCAAAUAGUCAUGAAAAUUUUUAACAAAAAUUAAAAUCUUCAAAA
rnacentral:misc_RNA from 1 species